UAUUCUGCCCUACAGGGAAGGAUGAGAAGCUUCGACUAAGGUUCGACUAAGGUUCGACUCGAGCGAAGCGAGAGAACGUUGCCGCAGGCAAUGGCCCGAAGGCGAGGCGCUUUAGCGCCGAGUAAUCCUUCCCCCACCACUG
rnacentral:sRNA from 1 species